AACAGACCACAUACACGGACUGGUACCAAAAAAAAAAAAGAGAACAACAGUAACUCUCACCAAUAUACUACACACAAUCAUCUUCUCCACUAAGACACCAUACACGCACGCACACACAAUACACACGCAGAACACUGCACACACCCACCUUAAUUCUUCUUUUCAACACAACAAUAUUGACGUACACACAAAUAUCGCAGCGCACUGGAAAUCGGAGGGAUUUGAGCGUGAGAGAGGAGAGAAGACGUGAGAGAGAGAUUGAAAUCGAGGAGUGAGGUGGCCGGAGAAAACACGAAUCGAGAGAGAGAGUGAAAACAAGGAGAGAAAGAGGGAAAACUGGUGGUGGCUGACUUCUCCGGCGAUGUCUCGCCAGAAAGACGUUACUGCCGCUCGGAAUCUGAUCUAAUUCUCCUUUUUCUGUUCUUUUUGAGCUCGCCGGAGUUCCAUUAGCUCCGUCCCAUUUCGGGAAAUGCUGAAAUGAUGACAGUUACUCCAAUUUCGGUGAGAUUCAUACAAGGUUAGUUGGAAAUCGGUGAUUUGGGGUUUCGAAUUUGAAAUCUUGGGUUGUUUUUUAUUUCUAUUCGGGUUUGCGGGUCAUUCAUUGUGAGGCUUUUCGUCGUUUUCCAAAUCUAUCCGGUUGAAUUCGAUAUCGAGUUUGGAGUUGUUGGUUAUCGAGGUUCAAAUCAAGGCAUUUCGGAUGCGGUUCUAUCUCUGAUAUAAUGAAAUCAACACUUGAGGUCCAAUCCUUUUACUCCCUCUUUUCACUUCGUUUCGAUUUGGUGCAUUGAUGUUAUGAUUGGAUGAUCUUGUUGAUGUUCGAUAUUGUUUAUCCGUGAACAAUUAAUCAUGGUAUGAAUUUGAUGUUAGCAUAGGUUUGGAUAAUUGCUUUGUGUGAAAAUGGACGUAUAAGAGGGAAUUCGGGGCGGAAUUGAGAAAUUGAUAAAAAGGGUGAGUUUGGAUGAAUUAAGAUUCAUUGAUUUUGGUUUAAUUUGAUUUGAGCAUGAAUGUUGUUGGAACAUGAUAGUAUCAUGAUAGAAUGAAAUUGGUAGGCAAACGGCAGGCUGGGUAGGAAAAUUUAAGAAUAACAAUUUGUUGAGUGAUUGAAUGUGUGUGAAUGAUUUAUUCUAUUUUAUCGCACAAAAAUUGAAAUUGUACUCAUUUGGUCGGGGAAUGCCCCGAGGGAUUUGUAUUGAUGUAUCCGGGGAAUGCCACGAAGUAUGAUAUGCGCGAAGGAGGCUCGUGAUCAAGGCCCGAGUCAUCUAUAAGGCAUUGGACCGCAGUUUUAGGUUAGCUUAGAAUAGGAUUUAUAUUUUUCGCAUUUUUUCUAUUUUUGGACUAGACAUUAUAUAUUUUUGGGAUUCGUUUGCUUGUAUUUGUUUGUUUAGUUGUUGUGUGUUUAUGUGGUUUAUAUAUUCUUAGUGUCAAAAUUAGUCAAUACGCUUCACCAAGCGUUCGUGGUCGAACCACGGGAUCGAGGGGUGCCUAACACCUUUCCCUCGGUCAACAGAAUUCCUUAGUCAGAAUCUUUGUUUGCAAAAUGGUUUUAAAGAGUCAAAUCGUCUUGAAAAGGAUUUUCCAAAGGUGACUUGGCACACCGAAUUAUGUCAAGUGGCGACUCUGAGUUUAAAUGUAAGUAGUCCUUUUCAAAACAAAUCUUUAUUUUUGUCACUUUAAUAAUAAAACUUUUUCAAAGCUUAAAAUUUAUUCUUUUUGUCUUUAUCUUUGUCACUUUAAUAAUAAAACUUUUUCAAAGCUUAAAAUUUAUUCUUUUGGUAAAAAAGGAGUGUGACAACCCCAUUAAGCCAUUGUAAUUCUGUCUGAGCAGAAAUUCAACUCUCGUUUUUCUCCUUUUUUUGCUCUUUUUUCACAAUUGAGCUUUAGGGCACUUUGGGUCGUCUGUGGAAGAAGCUUCAUAACGCAUUAUGGAGGUGUCUGAAUCAUGAAUGGCUUGUAGUGUUGGAAAUUUGACUCGCGAGGAUACGUUCUAUGUGAAAACCGCACUCAAUUUAUCUCCAGAUCUACCCAGGUAUUAUUUCAAAAUCAGACCUUCAAUUUAGUUUCGUCACUUUUUACUUGUUUAGCGCAGUCUCACGAAAACUCUCAUAUCUUGACAUAGGAACAUCAAAAUCAGGAGCCGUUUUUUGCGUUGGAAACUAGACUUGUAGAUUUGCAUCUCCUGCAGAAACCAGCAUCAAAAUGCAUCUGAGUCAUCUCAGAUAUCGCUCCAAAAAU
rnacentral:lncRNA from 1 species